rnacentral:rRNA from 1 species
GAUGAACGCUAGCGGCAGGCUUAAUACAUGCAAGUCGAGGGGCAGCAGGGUGUAGCAAUACAUCGCUGGCGACCGGCAAACGGGUGCGGAACACGUACGCAACCUUCCUUCAAGUGAGGAAUAGCCCAGGGAAACUUGGAUUAAUACCUCGUAACAUUGUGAAGUGGCAUCACUUUAUAAUUAUAGCUCAGGCGCUUGAAGAUGGGCGUGCGACUGAUUAGGUAGUUGGCGGAGUAACAGCCCACCAAGCCUGCGAUCAGUAACUGGUGUGAGAGCACGACCAGUCACACGGGCACUGAGACACGGGCCCGACUCCUACGGGAGGCAGCAGUAAGGAAUAUUGGUCAAUGGACGCAGUCUGAACC